AUAUCUCUCCGCACGGGAAGGAUGAGAAGCUUUGACUAAGGUUCGAUUCGAGCGCAGCGAGAAAGCGUUGCCGCAGGCAACGACCCGAAGGGUGAGGAGCGGAGCGACGAAUAAUCCUUCCCCCACCACCA
rnacentral:sRNA from 5 species